GCUGUUCCCAGAGAGACUUCUUUGCUGAAAUCGUUAGUGUCCUCUUCAAGUACCCCGUUUCAUUUUAUCUGUGCGACAAACCCUUUGAGGCAGGCCAGGAGGGUUUCAGAUGCUAUUAUCAGGAGAGAGUGUAGUUUCCUUUCCGUAGACCUCGCAGGACUGCUUGCCCGGAGGGCCAAGUAAUUGGCCCAGCAGGAAAGAGGAAGCUCGGGCAUCUAUACUCUGCAGUUCCCAAGCCUCUCCUCCUCCUCGGCCGGGCACAUGGCAUUUCCUUGGUGGCCACAGAUGUCUUUUUACCGUCUUCAUUCCUUUGCAGCUGGGGACCAAGGAGUCCCGGGUUUCCUCUCCCUUCAGAAGCCCAGAGUGCAUUUGUAGCAAUUGGACGUGUCACACCCACAGUUUCUAGAAGCCAACAUAGUAUAGGACUCGGCAUUGUGCCCGCAAUGCAGCUUCUGCAGGAAAGCCUCCUAGACACUACAGGCCAGCAGGCAUUCACUGGUCACCUGGGAUGAGGCAGACACCGUCAGGCACAGGGUGAAAGAGGACUGGAUGUUUGGCAUCUGGCAAGGUGAGGAGUCGCUGGGCACGAUGGACUCAGUGAUGACUUAGGGCAGCAUUGACUGCUGGUGGUCCCCCAAAUCUUAUUCUCCCCCACUUUCCCCAGUAAUUAGAACUCCACUUUUAGUUGAGCACAUGGCUACUUGGAAUAAAGACUGCAUACUUCUGCUGUCCUUGCAGUUAACUGUGGCCAUGUGACAAAGGGCUAGAAGAGGAAGUGGAGGGUGAGACUUCUGGGAAGUAUCCUAAAAUGGAGAGAGUGUGAGCGCUUCUUCCACCCCGCCUUUCUGCUGGUGUGAAUGCAUACGGAAUGGUUGUAGUUCAGCAGCUAUCUUGGACCUUGAGGAGACCUGGGGAACGAAAGCCAUCCUUGGCAGAGCAAAGUGUAGAUGAGACCUGGUCUGUGCACCAUGGGAUGCCAUAUUAGCCUUGGCCAGGUUAUUUCCAUGUCUGGAAAUUGGGAGAGAAAUAAAAUUCCAUCUGCACUGAGCCACUGUUAUUCUGGGUUUUGCUAUUACUCUUAGCUGAAGCCAAUCUUCAUAUAGUCUCAGGCGCAUAGCUUCCAGAUGAGCCCAGAAGAUGAGCAGAGAGAGUCCCGGCUGGAGUAAGUAAAGUGGCUUCCAGCCCCGGCUUGCCCUUGACUUGCUCUGGGAUGUUUGGAAGAUCUCUCCCUUCUCGGGCCUCAGUCCCCUCUUCUUGAACCAAGGUGUCGGACUUUGUGGGCGCCAAGAUAUCUUCUCGCCCUGCCAUUUUAUCUUCUGGAUAUUUUGAUGAGUCCUGGAAGCCCGACAUGCUGAGCCGAGAACGUUGUACUUGAUCUCAGAAGCAGUGGUGUCCUUGGAGAAUUUUCCUGGUGGGGAGUAGGGAUGGGAAGUGGCGGAGGUGAUGCUUUAAGAGGAAGUUGGAGUCUCCCGACGGACGUGUGGCUAAGCUGGGGUGGGUGCUGGGUGAACAUCAGAAGACCAGCUCUGCCAUGCACAGGGUCUGGGACUGUGGGCAUGCUGCCACCCCUCGCUGAACUUUAAUUUGCUGCCAGGGACGGGGGGACGAUCCACCCUGUCCCAGGGCAGUUGAGGCUGGGACACAGUAAUGUAUGUGAAGGAGUUCUGUGAACCCUAGAUGGCGAGGAUUGCCCUUUCCCUCAGAGCCCUUUCAGGAUGAAUUCUCCGUCCGUCUUCCCUUCUGUGUCUGCGGCUCACCCCAGUGCAUGCACUCCCCAUCAGACUGGGGGGCCUUGGGAAGCAGCGUGGCUCUGAUGUUAAGGCAGAGGGGUCCUCAGGCACCUGCCCACUCUGGCCAUUCCCCCCCCCCCCCCCCCCCCGCCACGGCAUUUUCUUCCUCUCCUGCAGGUGUCAAAGUGCUUACCCCACCUCGCCUGCUUCUCACGUGUUCUCUCUGAGGAAGGUUCUCUUCUCAUCCUCACCUCAUGAGGGACGAGGUCUGAGGCCCCGGGAGGGGAAGUCAUUUCCUCAGGGUUGCCUGCUUUUGGUGGCAGUGUGGACUGGAAAAAGAGACUGUAAGCCUGAAGCUGUUCCCAGAUUAUUUGACCUGCCCAGACUGUUUGAAGCUAGGGGAAACUUGUGGGAUCAGAGGAGAGAACUGAGGAGUGGGCCAGGCUGGGAGGCAUGCCACUGGGUGGGGGAGAGAGGGGGGCAGUAUCGCUUCAGACUCCUUGGGCCCAUGGGUCACUUCACCCGGGCUUCGGGUGCCCCCUCGUGGGCAUUGUGGGGAGUGCCCAGCCGAUCACCUUCCCCACCGUAGCCGGCUUCUGGAUGGUUCCCCGGACACUCCCUCUCCUUCAGGGUACCAGUCUACCUGUGGGACUUAUUGGACCGGUGAGAAUGUGAGCAACCUGGAGGUUUUUUUUUGGUUUAGGAGCUUAAAAUUCAAAUGCCCACAGGGGCCAGGCAGCUAAGGUAAAACAGAGAAGUUGGUGUGGGGUGAGAAACUGUGGAUAGUCACCCGCACAUAAAACAUGCUGGAAUAUUCUUGGCCUUCACAAAGAAUUACGCUUUCCCGCUGUCUUUUUUGAAACAUGCCGGCCUUCCAUCCUCCCACUGCAGACUGAAAGAUAUGCACAGGGAAGGUUUACUUUCCUUUUCUCUGUCUUAUCUGUUCGUGUUUUCUCUAUUUCAUCUUUAUUAGAAGAUGGUGCACAUAUAGAUAGGGCAUCUGACACUCGGCCUCAUUGUAGGGACGGUAAAAGGGCGUGGUGAGCACAACAGCAAACUAGAACCACUUAGAACACCUGGGCCGGAGGCACCCCUGCUCUGUUACUCUCUGGCCGUGCCCCUGCUCCUCUGCUGAGGAGCAGGUCCACCCACAGAGCCUUUGUCUCCCCAUCCUGUCCAGUAGGCCCUAAGCUCACUUCUGGGGACUGCUGGGGCUUCUUCCCUGGGUCCUGCCUCCUUUGUACCUCAUCCUGGCUGAGGGAUGGCUGACUUGGGGGUGGGGAGCCUCUAGAGCUGCCCUGUCCAAUUGGGCAGCCGCUAGCCACGUGUGGUUGAGAACUCUGAAUGUGGCUAGUCUGAAUUGAGAUGUGCUGUGACUAUAAAACCCACAUCAGAUCUUCAAGACAGUAGGAGAAAGAUGAAUAUAAAAUAUGAGCAGUCUUAAAUAUUGAUUACAUGUUGAAAUAAUAUUUUGCAUAUA